rnacentral:rRNA from 1 species
GCGGUGCAUGGGCGAGCCUGAUCCAGCAUGCCGCGUGCAGGAUGAAGGCCUUCGGGUUGUAAACUGCUUUUGUACGGAACGAAAAAGCUUCUCCUAAUACGAGAGGCCCAUGACGGUACCGUAAGAAUAAGCACCGGCUAACUACGUGCCAGCAGCCGCGGUAAUACGUAGGGUGCGAGCGUUAAUCGGAAUUACUGGGCGUAAAGCGUGCGCAGGCGGUUAUGUAAGACAGAUGUGAAAUCCCCGGGCUCAACCUGGGAACUGCAUUUGUGACUGCAUGGCUAGAGUACGGUAGAGGGGGAUGGAAUUCCGCGUGUAGCAAUGAAAUGCGUAAAUAUGCGGAGGAACACCGAUGGCGAAGGCAAUCCCCUGGACCUGUACUGACGCUCAUGCACGAAAGCGUGGGGAGCAAACAGGAUUAAAUACCCUGGUAGUCCACGCCCUAAACGAUGUCAACUGGUUGUUGGGAAUUAGUUUUCUCAGUAACGAAGCUAACGCGUGAAGUUGACCGCCUGGGGAGUACGGCCGCAAGGUUGAAACUCAAAGGAAAUUUGACGGAG